rnacentral:rRNA from 1 species
AAUCAACGCUGGCGGCGUGCCUCAGACAUGCAAGUCGAACGCGAAAUUUCCCUUCGGGGAGAAAGUAGAGUGGCGCACGGGUGAGUAACACGUGGGUAAUUUGCCUUUGGGUGGGGAAUAACUCAGGGAAACUUGAGCUAAUACCGCAUAAUGCAGCGGCUCGACAUCGAGACAGUUGUUAAAGCGGGGGAUCGCAAGACCUCGCGCCUGAAGAGAAGCCUGCGGCAGAUUAGCUAGUUGGUAAGGUAAUGGCUUACCAAGGCGACGAUCUGUAACCGGCCUGAGAGGGCGGUCGGUCACACUGACACUGACAUACGGGUCAGACUCCUACGGGAGGCAGCAGUCGGGAAUUUUGGGCAAUGGGCGAAAGCCUGACCAGCAACGCCGCGUGAAGGAUGAAAUCCUCGGGAUGUAAACUUCGCAAGAACGGGAAGAAUAAGUGAAAGUUAAUAUCUUUCAUGAUGACGGUA